AUUGAACGCUGGCGGCGUGCCUAAUACAUGCAAGUCGAACGGAGUGGCGCACGGGUGAGUAAUGUAUAGAUAAUCUGCCCUACACUAGAGGACAACAGUUGGAAACGGCUGUUAAUACUCCAUAUUUUAGGAUGAGGAUAUAUUGAAUCAGUUAGUGGGUGAGGUAAUGGCUCACCAAGGCUAUGACGCAUAACUGGUCUGAGAGGAUGAGCAGUCACACUGGAACUGAGACACGGUCGAGACUCCUACGGGAGGCAGCAGUAGGGGAUAUUGCUCAAUGGGGGAAACCCUGAAGCAGCUACGCCGCGUGGAGUAUGACACUUUUCGGAGCGUAAACUCCUUUUGUUAGGGAAGCGGUACCUAACGAAUAAGCACCGGCUAACUCCGUGCCAGCAGCCGCGGUAAUAC
rnacentral:rRNA from 1 species